AGCUCGUUUUACAUUUUACCUCACUAAGGAUAAGCUUAGUAAGGCCAUUAAAUAGAGAGUAUUUUGUCUAAACUAGUUACAUAGGCUUGAAAUUAGCCAUUGCUCUAGAACUUGUUAUAAAAUAACUUUAAUAUUUAGAAAAAUAAUUAUACUUAAUUCUACUUAAAACGGGGAUAAGCACGAAAAACUAUUGAUCUGGUCUAUUUAUGCUAGAAUGAGUAUUAAACAUGCCUAAUUUAACAGGUUAAAUCAAAAUAAAUAUACCUGUACUAAUAAAUAUAGAUUUUUUUAUUAAAAAAUAAAAAUAAGGAACUCGGCAAACUUUAGCUCCGCCUGUUUAUCAAAAACAUGGCUCUUUGAAUCUUUAAUAUAAAGAGUCGAACCUGCCCAGUGAAAUUUUAACGGCCGCGGUACUCUGACCGUGCAAAGGUAGCAUAAUCAUUUGCCUUAUAAUUGAAGGCUCGUAUGAAUGGUUUGACGGGAGCACUACUGUCUCUUUUUUACUAAGUAGAACUUGACUUUUAGGUGAAGAGGCCUAAAUACAAUUGAUAGACAAGAAGACCCUGUCGAGCUUAAAAAAGAAUUAGAAGCAAACUAUAGUAUUUAAAUUAACUACUAAUUAACCUUUUUUGGUUGGGGCGACCAAGGAACAGAUAAAGCUUCCUUUUUCUAAUUGACUAAUAAGUAAUGAUCCAGUAAACUGAUUAAAAGAAUUAGUUACCGCAGGGAUAACAGCAUAAUCUCUCCUAAGAGACCUAAUCGAAGGAGGGGGUUGUGACCUCGAUGUUGGACUAGAGUAUCCUAAAGAUGCAGAAAUCU
rnacentral:rRNA from 1 species